rnacentral:tRNA from 1 species
GGGAGUGUAGCUCAGUUGGCAGAGUGCCUGCCUAGCACGCAUGAGGCUCUGGGUUCCACCCAGCACCG